rnacentral:rRNA from 1 species
UUGGGUUUAAGGGUCCGUAGGCGGAUCUGUAAGUCAGUGGUGAAAUCUCACAGCUUAACUGUGAAACUGCCAUUGAUACUGCAGGUCUUGAGUGUUAUUGAAGUAGCUGGAAUAAGUAGUGUAGCGGUGAAAUGCAUAGAUAUUACUUAGAACACCAAUUGCGAAGGCAGGUUACUAAGCAACAACUGACGCUGAUGGACGAAAGCGUGGGGAGCGAACAGGAUUAGAUACCCUGGUAGUCCACGCCGUAAACGAUGCUAACUCGUUUUUGGGAUGUAAGUUUCAGAGACUAAGCGAAAGUGAUAAGUUAGCCACCUGGGGAGUACGAACGCAAGUUUGAAACUCAAAGGAAUUGACGGGGGCCCGCACAAGCGGUGGAUUAUGUGGUUUAAUUCGAUGAUACGCGAGGAACCUUACCAAGGCUUAAAUGGGAAAUGACAGGCUUAGAAAUAGGCUUUUCUUCGGACAUUUUUCAAGGUGCUGCAUGGUUGUCGUCAGCUCGUGCCGUGAGGUGUUAGGUUAAGUCCUGCAACGAGCGCAACCCCUGUCACUAGUUGCCAUCAUUAAGUUGGGGACUCUAGUGAGACUGCCUACGCAAGUAGAGAGGAAGGUGGGGAUGACGUCAAA